ensembl:lncRNA
UUCUCGGUGAAAGUAAACGGUUCGCGGUGAAACUUUCCCUCUCGUCCCGCGGUCUCCUCCCUUCGCCGUGUUCUUGUCUCGUUCUCGGGGAACCUUUUAACUUCAAGAUCGACCGAGACCAACUAAUUCUUCUCCUCGUUGAAUUAUUCUGUCGAUCAUAACUUAAGGCAAUAAACGUUGCAGCGUUGUACAGCGGCAUGUAGAUUAUCGACCAACUGUGACAUUCAUGAUAAAAAAAACUAAACCAUCAGAGUGGUGACGAUCGUCUAACUGAACACGUUUUUUCCGCAUUCAUCUAGAAGCUUCUUGUCGAGUGAGUCAAUCAAAUGCGACCUUUCAGUUCCUUUUAGCUGAACAUGUAAGUGGGCCAGAUUUAUAUAAAAUAACAAUACUCUUCCUUUUUUUUUUUUUGUUAAUGACAGUUUUAUGAAUAAAAAAACUGCAUUAAAUCUCGCAGCCGCCACUCUGAGUGACGUCAUCGUCUCUGACAUUCAACAGGAGCACCUCCUCGCCUCCUGUCACACACUGUGGAACAUCAAGGCGUCCGGAAGAUGGAGAUGUGAGAAUGAGGAGAGGGGUGUAGGGUGAUGUGGGGUGUGUGUGGGGGUGAUGUGAAGCGUGUGGGGGGAGUGUGGGGGGAGUGUGGGGGGGUAAAGCACUCCUCUCAUUUCUCUGGGGAUCAGCCUCUUUUAGCCACAGCAGCAGGAAGCAGCAGCGGAUUCUGUAAAACGAGGCAACAAAACACGAAAACACGUCUAGAAAUGAAAAAAAAAUUGGUUGUGCGUGUGUGCGUGCAUGUGUGUGUGUGUGUGUGUGCUGUAAGAGGAGCUGUGGGAGGAGGGGAGGGAUGGAUAGAUGGCUCCUUACUCAUCAAUGACCACCACAGAAAUAGCCAGCAGGCCGACACAUUGCAGCGACACCUUCAGAGUCUGUGUGACAUUGUGUGCAGGAUGAACACGUGUGUGAGUGUGUGUGUGUGUGUGUGUGUGUGUGUGUGUGUGUGUGUGUGUCAGUGAGAGGGGAAGAUAAAGACAGACACACUGAGCGAUGAGGUCAUCGUACGGGUGUAAACACACCCGCCCAGGAGAAGUCCGACGAUGAAAGAUCUGAUUUCUUUUUUGUUUCGUCAUUUUCUUUCCCGGUUCAAUUCUCAAUUAUUCUGCUCUGAGAAAG